GGAACUAAAUCCUAGUAUUCUCCAAGAGUAGGAUGAACUUUUAGUUGCAGGGCUAUCUCUGUCAUUUUAUGGGGAGUUGAAGUAACUGUUAAUUUACAAAUAUGAGUCCUAACAUGUUUUUAAACACUAAAACAGGAAAGUCAGAAAUUUAGAACGGUGAAUAUGAAUUUACAAAACACAAAAACAAAACAAAACAAAACAAAACCUGUUGUUUGCCACCCAACUUAUUCUGAGAAUUAGGGAAUAUGGGGAAUUAGGCCUUUGUGAUUGUAAACACCAGUGAGAGCCCCAUCAGAAUCACCAGUCAAGCCAAAAUGUGUUUAUUUAGGAGUUAGACCUUGUGCAAAUAUGGGAAAGCUAAGGGUAUGAAGAUUUGCUAGGGGCAGUCAACACCAUAAAUCAGUCAGCGCUUCUCAAGCUUUGGGGCUGAAGCUGUCAAGUGUGCAUCCAUUGUAGGAGGAUAGCACACAGGAGCUCAGAGACACGACCACUGGGAGGUGAGAUGGAGGUGUUGGGCCUGGGACUGAUGGAGGUGAGAAGGGCCAGUGGUUUGGUAGUCAAGCUCGAGGUGAAGGGAAGUGUGAAGAACUAGCUGGCUUCACUGUGGAACUGACUUCUCGAAUUCACACUGCCCUCACCAGGCCUAACCUCUGAUUCUGUGCGGGUCCCGUCUGCCACACUACAUUGGAAAGAGCAGUUCAGAUGACUAUCGACAGCAGAAGAGGCUGUUGGAACUCCGGGAAGUAGCAUGCUAUUGUGCUGGGGAACUGAACCCAGUCAUCCAAAAGAACACCAGAAGCUGGAAACAACCCAGAUGUCCUUCAACAG
rnacentral:sRNA from 1 species